rnacentral:rRNA from 1 species
CCUACGGGAUGCAGCAGUGAGGAAUAUUGGUCAAUGGCCGGAAGGCUGAACCAGCCAAGCCGCGUGAAGGACGAAGGUGCCAAGCAUUGUAAACUUCUUUUGUCAAGGGACAAAAUCAGGCUCGAGAGCCUGCCCGAGGGUACUUGAAGAAAAAGAAUCGGCUAACUCCGUGCCAGCCGCCACGGUAAUACGGGGGAUGCGACCGUUAUCCGGUGUUAUUGGGUUUAAAGGGUGCGUGGGCGGGCUGUUAAGUCAGCGGUAAAUGCACGGGGCUCAACCCCGGCGAGCCGUUGAAACUGGCUGACUUGAGAUGUCGAGAGGUAUGCGGAAUGCGCAGUGUAGCGGUGAAAUGCUUAGAGAUUGCGAAGAACUCCGAUUGCGAAGGCAGCAUACCGGCGGCGAUCUGACGCUGAGGCACGAAAGCGUGGGUAUCGAACAGGAUUAGAUACCCGAGUAGUC